UGUCUGCAGUCGCUGGAGACUCGGCGAGUCUGCAGAGAUAAAACAGAAGAAGCAAAAGGCGUGACUUCUGCAGACUAUGAAGCUUUACGUGCGAUUUUCUUUCUACAAAUGAAUAUGGUCCUCUUUUCACGGCCGUGAUGGUUUUCUAUGUACCAUUACCAAUCUAAAAACAGGAAAAGUAAAUCAGUGGCAAUCAGAUAUUGUAUGGCAGGAAAAGCACACUGUCCAGCCACGUUGACUUGCCACAAUU